UGGUAAAUUCAACUCAACUGCCUGAAGACAAGGAGAAGGGUUUUAGGUCUUAAUGUGAGAGAAAAUGCCUGAGUCUAUAUCAACCUCAGUAAAAUAUGUAUGAAUGGUAAUGGAAUUCAAGAUUUCCUGCUCUUCAAGAUUAUGUAGGGAAUUCCAUUGUCGAAAAAAAGGACAAAGUCAGUAUGAUUAUUACGUGUCAUUUCUCAACAGGAAAGUAGUGAAGUAUUGGAACCAUAGUCGUCAUUCCAAGUUGAUUGAAA